UAUAUCAAAUAUAUAUGUAUAUUUGAUAGAGAUGAUAGCAAUUAUGUGUGUGUGUGUGUGUGUGUGUGUGUGUGUGUUAGCCAAGUGUGGUUUCUCAUGCCUGUAGUCCCAGCUACUUUGGAGGCUGAAGUGUAAGAGUUGCUUGAGCCCAUGAGUUAGAGGCUGCUGUGAGCUAUGAUCAUGCCACUGCACUCCAGCCUGGGCAACAGAGCAAAACCCCAUCUCUAAAUAAAAAAAAAGAAUCGUGAGACAUCAUGUAAUCCAACCUCUUAAUGUUACAGAUAAGUAAACUGAGGCCCAAAGAGAUAUAGUAAUAGUCCCAGUGUCAGUAAACUGGGUCUUGAACUUAAAUGUUUGUUUCAGUUCUCAUUGCCUUCAUCUCUUAAUUGUCGGCACUUAAGGCCAACCAAGCAGCUUAGACAGCGCAGUCCACUCAACGGUAACUUUAUUUGCUAUAUUGACAAUCUGCUCUGUUCUGUAAUAUAGAACAUUGGAUCAAUCUUUAUCUUUUUGCUGACUUAAGGAGGCUGCUAUUGUUGCAAUAUCCAGAGAUUUCAAGUUCUAGCCAUUGCGGGGUCUUUGUGGUGUUUUCAAUUUCUCCUCUCUCCACCCCUGCCCCCAUCUGUGGCCAUCUAAGUUAGCAAUACAAUUUAUUUUGGCCAUUUAAAAUUUUUCUGCCUUUGUUUUAUUUCUUCCCAAAUAUAUUUGAAAAUGAAUGAUCUAUAUAGCUGAUUUUCUGACCACAUAUAUAAUUGCAAUUUUUAUUUGCUCUUCAAACUAUUACAACAUUUUUGUCCUUAUAAGGUUUUUUGGGCAGAUAAUGCGAGGUCUGUGGUGUUACCUUUUAUAUACUCCUAUUACCUUAUGUUUGUGAAGCAUUUUACAUUUUACAGAGCACUUUGAUUCAUCUCCCUAUUUGUUCAUUUAUUUAACUGUUCAGUUCACUGAAAUAUUUAUUGAACACCUACUGGAACCAAGUGACUGUGCUAGUAACUUGUGAUAUACAGUAGUGAGAGUCCAGGCAUGUAACCGAUCAUUAUAAUACAAUAACAUCCCUAAACCAGACUUUACAAGUAGAUAGGAUCAACAAUACUCUAUCAAUUUUCAACUCCAAUUUUCUAUUCUACUUAAAAUGGGAACUAGAAACUGUUUGCCUGAAGAAUGUGUCUGAAACAUAAUAUAUCACUGCAUGUCUGUGCUGUAGACCUGUUAAUUUUAUCUGUGAGAAAAAAAGUUACUCAAAAUUCUCCCUGACCUAAGAAUACUUUCUAGUUCACUGCAGUCUUACUGACCAGAUGCAACAGUUGAAGUUUGAUUUCUCGACCCAAUAUUUCUAUUGGGUUUUGAAUUAUUAAUAUCACUGUUUUGAGGUAUUCAGAAACACCAGUGUAUCAAAAAAGCAUUUGCACUUUAGGUGUGUGUGGUGGUUAUGUCAUUUAUUAGACCAUCCCAGACAUAAGACAAUCAGGGAAAUCAGAAAACUCCAGCCUCAAAUGUGUCUAUAAUUUCCUGUUCUACCAUUGUCAUAUCAUAACAUGGUAUUACUUCUUAAGGUUUUGAUUAAGUUGAUCUAGCCUCAACUUAAAUUGUAAUACAUCUGCCUAAUUAUUGUCUGGAAUAACUUUUCAACCAUCCAAUGCCCACUGCUCUCACAAUGAUUAUUGUAGAGAAGUAAAAUGGUAAUUAUUCAAGUAAAGUCACAUAAUUUCUGGAGUCAGUUUUUCAUAACAAGUUUAUGGAAUACAUCAUCAUUGGCUUCUUCAUAAUAUAUUUAUUAUGAGUGACCAAAUUUUGCCUGGAGGAGCAAAAUGCUCAAAACUUGUUAUUAUAGGUUAAUUUCCAGCUCACUGUUGACACUGAAAGAUUCUGUGUUACUUUAAACCCAGGAUAAAAGGCUGGAAAAAAAAUUAAAUGUAAGUCAUAAACUAGUACUCAGCUUUUCCUAGUUUCUAAGGCUUAUUAACAUUUGCAAAUUACUCAAUAAAUGUCUUUCAUAAUGGAAUAACAUAAAAGCUUUUGAUUUGGCAGAUAGUGAUAUUUUAUUUAUUUUCAUUCUGGUUGAAAAAAAUCUCAGUGGCUUCUCUUCAUUCCACGAGAAUUUUGAUUUUUAACAGCAGUCUCUCUUUUUCUCAGCAUUGCAAAUAUAUAUGUAUAUAUACAUUCAUGACCAAAGUAUCGCUUACUGACCAUGCAGCUGUAAACCUUCUGUGCCUAUCAAACAAAUACAUAGCAUGAAACUAAUUUUAGAAGUUUCAUGGGGGAAUUUUAGGGGAAAGUAUAAACCUAAGAGUGAGUGAAUGGAGAUGAUUCAUGGAAAAAAAAAUAAAAAUCUAAAUGUGCUAUUAGGCAGAGUUAUUAACUUCUUUUAGUUGUUGUUUGAGAUGGGGUUUUGCUCUUGUUACCCAGGCUGGAGUGCAAUGGCGUGAUCUCGUCUCACUGCAACCUCCGCCUCCCAGGUUCAAGCGAUUCUCCUGCCUCAGCCGCCCAAGUAGCUGGGAUUACAGGCAUAUGCCACUACAGCCGGCUAAUUUUGUAUUUUUAGUAGAGACGGGGUUUCUCCAUGCUGGUCAGGCUGGUCCCCAGCUCCCGACCUCAGGUGAUCCGCCCACCUCCGCCUCCCAAAGUGCUGGAAUUACAGGCCUGAGCCACCGUGCCUGGCCGAGUUAUUAACUUCUUAAGAGCAAUGUGCUAAUAAAUACUCAUUGAUGACCAGCUCAAAUUUAGGUCAUUCAGACAUCCAGACACUGGGGCACAUAUUCUGCAAGCAAUGCUGAGACCCCUGACAUAGAGAAAGCAAAGGAUAUGCCUAUGAUUAGUCUAAAAUGCAGCCAUCACCCCCCAUACCUCUUCUAUGGCAUUCAUCCUAACAUCAUGGAGGCCUUUGUCCUAGAGAAUUAUGUGACUUGCCCUAGAGAAUUAGUGAAUGACCAAAAAGAGACUUUCCAUUUAUCUUCCUUUGACUUAAAAGGCAUGAAAAUAAGGCAAAAAAAUCAAUAAAAUAAUUUUCCUGAGGAAAGGUUAAGAGAUGGCACUUUCCUUUCCGGGCCCAGAGCUGGAUUUCUCUGAGAUUUGACCAUCUCAGGACUCAGACAGACUCCAGUGCUAUUUUCUGGACAUUUGUGGUGAAGCCUCAGCCACCAUGUUCAAGGUGGUUUGAAUGAAAACAUACUCAGAUUGUCACAUUUAUAGCAGGGAAAUAAAAACUCAAAUUAGGCAUCCUGCAGCAGGCUACUCUGAAAAUAACAUUAGGCAACAUCAGAGCUUCACUUGCAAAGAAAUGUUAAAAUCAUUUUAGGGAAAUCAGUGAAGUCUCUUUAGAAACAGACAUCUUGUGUAUGGCGUAACCCAGUCUUGGGGCCCUCACGGAGAAGAGGGGGAAGUCUUUUCAUUGAUUGGUCAAAACAAAUCUCUCAUUUGCCUGAUUUGAAGCAUUUCAACAGUGCCUGGAGAGUACAUUAUUUUCAGGGGAAAAAAAGGAGAGAGUCUUUUUUAUAUGCCAGCUGGGAUCAUGGGAACUUCGAAUGCCAGGAAUUUACUACUGUUUCUGGUAAUUCUGUGUGUAGUCAUUUGAAAUGUUGAAGUGUGAAAAGAGAAGAAAUUGGGCACUUCUUGCGGCGGGGGAGGGGGGGGGGGCGGUGGCUUUCCAGAUUUUAUGCCAGUUGCACCAGCAUGCAGAAUAUUUGUAAUGCAUUUCAAAGUGGAUAUAAUGGCACCCUUUGUCAGAAUCACAAAGCUCACUGCGGCACUGCUACAAGAGGACACUGAGGAAAAUCUGGCCCUAUGAACCUAGUCAACCCCAAGCAAAAAGAAUGACUAUGUGUGUGAGUGCAGCACAUGGCCAGUUCGUUUCUCACUGUUUUGGAAAGCCCUGUGUGCCAAACCAAGGACGUGUCUUUCAGGGAAAGGUUAAUUUUCCGAAGUUUAUUAAAAUAGAACUUGGAAAACCAAGCAUUUUGAAUUUAUUCCAGUCCUCUGGGCAUCAUUCCUAUUUCUUCUGCCAUGUCAAGGAGAAAUUCCAAGCCUGCAUUCUGUCAUGCUAAAAUAACCAGCCCAUACUUCUCGGUGACCUUCUGUUGAACGUACCUGAGCCUGCAAAUGUAAAAAUGAUUGUAUCUGAAUCUGCACUAAUGGUGUCUGAGAGCAAAAAGAGUGUGACCUCUAUUGGAAACCUUUGUUCAAAUUCAAUAAUUCAGAGAUGCUACAUACUUCUGCAAGCUUCCUGAUUAUGUUCACUGUAAUAUUAAUGACCUAAGUUUGAAUGUAUUUCCUUACAGUCCAUUAAUUUGACAUCCAUCUUUUACCUGGGGAUUAUUACAAUUGCAAUAAGUCAUUAAUGUUUUCUUCACACAGCUUCUUAAACCAAGUUUCUCUGCAGCUCUUUCGGUUCUGCUUACAGUGUGUGGGAAAUCUGAUUUUUUUCCCCUAGUAAUAGUUUGAUAAGAAAUUUAGUGUAUUGACUGCCUCAGUGACACAAUUUAUCUUUAAAGGUGUGGAAGCUGGUGGGGACCAAAUGUUACCUGUGUUUUUGCUGUUGAUUGCUAUUUUCAGAAGCAAACCAUGUUUUUCACUUACAGUAGGAGUCAACAAAUUUGGGAUUUUAGAAGGGGGAGGAGGGAGCUAUUUGUGUAAGACUGCUGUCAUAUUUGACUACAUAUUAAAAACAGUAAAUGAGCAUUUUGUUUUAAUUUCUUAAAUACCUUGUCUUUCAACAUACGUUUUGUUUCCUUUCUUCCAUUAGUGUUCAAAAGGUUCUACCCAUUGUGGAAGAAAUUCUGUGUGCAGAAUUCAGAGGCACAAGGCUGAUGGCAAGAUAGAAAGUUAUUUUGCUUCUAAACCCACCCCGAUGUGGAAACUGAUACUAGCUAGAGGGAGCUGUAGAAAACAAAGAUUUCAGGAUUGCACAGUGUGUGGGCAAUGGGAUGGAGACUUUUUCCCCUAUUCCCAGCCACAGUGCCCAAGCGUUCAAGUCUCCUGGAUCAGACAGAUGGGAUUUUAGCUGCUGCUUUAAAUCCUAGUGCUGGAAUAAGUCAAGGUACUUCAGUUCAGCUCUUGCCUCUGUCACUAAUCUUGCUUUAUGAACUCCUUUGAUUUUCUGAAUAAGUUCCAGAAGGUUCUCUAUUAUUCUGUCCUUCUUCCAAACUGGAAAUGGCUGUAUCUAAUUCUCAGGAUAUUUUGGAUGUGUGCCUCAGGUAAUUUAUGUGGAAUGUGUAAAGCAAGAUGUCUCCAAUUCUGAAUAUUCCUUCCCCUUUUCCCAAUCCUCCACUCUUGGACUACCUUUAUAACAACACCGAGUACGCACAGACCUGAACCCAUGCCCAAGAAGCACACACAAUGACUGGAGCUGUCGGGAAUUCCUG
rnacentral:lncRNA from 1 species